rnacentral:SRP_RNA from 1 species
GCCGAGCUCAGCAGCGCGAGCUUGUAACCCGAGCGGGGGCAGUAAGGUGGCUUGGACGUUGUCGUACGGCUGCGGGCCUGGGUCGGCUGUGCUCAAGAUGGCCCGCCCGAUUCCAAGUUGCGUAGCUGGGCCGGCGGGGCUUGAGCGAAAGCUCUGGGCCCCACGGUGUUCCUAGAGCGGCAGGCAUUGCGUUAGGCUGGUUUCACAGAGCAGCGAAAACUGCCCGCUUCCAACGGUGGAAGGAUAACGGGCCGCCGCACUGCUGGCCCGCUUGGGUCUCGCCGCCUACUGCAACGGACAACCAUUUUU